AGAUAUAAUUGAGUGAAUACAUUUCAUGAAAAAAUAAUUCAAGAUUACAAAUUAAAAUGAAACUAUUACUUAUCAAGUCAUUAUGAACUAGCUAAUUAAACAUAGGUACAAAUUACAAAAGCCAAACAUUAAACUAACACUAAUAAUAAAAUUAUUAGAAGCUAAGAGAGAAGUAAUUAGUACUAAACUUUGUAUGUUUUGUUACAAAAUUCCUAAUGGUGAUUGAAAAUUUACUUCCAAUUAAUUUUGAAAUAAAUUUUGAAUCACCAAAAGUGAAAUUAUAACUUGAUAGACAUACUAGGGAAAACUUAGUUAAUUACUCCUACCUAUCUCUUCUUGUUAUGCAAUGGAUUAGAUCCAGUAGGGACUCUCCUAUUCUCAAAUUUGAAUGAAGUAGGAAGAGGUUGAAAUAUCACACUCACUUUUCGUGGCGACGGGCCAGAAAAUCGUGCUUGCUGUAGAUGGAUGACAUGAACUCUUGGAGAGGUAAAGAGGACAAUGAAGAAGAAGAAAUGGAAGAGACUUAUCAUGGUUGCUUGAAGAUUUUUUUAAAUUUUUAUUUUUUGUUGAAGGUAGAAAUGAAGAAGGUGGUUCAUUUAUAUAUGGACAUAUAUAGUUGGUCCAUACAUUUGUGUUUGAAAUGAUGAAUAUACUC
rnacentral:lncRNA from 1 species